GGCGUGCUUAACACAUGCAAGUCGAACGGAAAGGCCCUGCUUUUGUGGGGUGCUCGAGUGGCGAACGGGUGAGUAACACGUGAGUAACCUGCCCUUGACUUUGGGAUAACUUCAGGAAACUGGGGCUAAUACCGGAUAGGAGCUCCUGCUGCAUGGUGGGGGUUGGAAAGUUUCGGCGGUUGGGGAUGGACUCGCGACUUAUCAGCUUGUUGGUGGGGUAGUGGCUUACCAAGGCUUUGACGGGUAGCCGGCCUGAGAGGGUGACCGGCCACAUUGGGACUGAGAUACGGCCCAGACUCCUACGGGAGGCAGCAGUGGGGAAUAUUGCACAAUGGGCGGAAGCCUGAUGCAGCAACGCCGCGUGCGGGAUGACGGCCUUCGGGUUGUAAACCGCUUUCGCCUGUGACGAAGCGUGAGUGACGGUAAUGGGUAAAGAAGCACCGGCUAACUACGUGCCAGCAGCCGCGGUGAUACGUAGGGUGCGAGCGUUGUCCGGAUUUAUUGGGCGUAAAGGGCUCGUAGGUGGUUGAUCGCGUCGGAAGUGUAAUCUUGGGGCUUAACCCUGAGCGUGCUUUCGAUACGGGUUGACUUGAGGAAGGUAGGGGAGAAUGGAAUUCCUGGUGGAGCGGUGGAAUGCGCAGAUAUCAGGAGGAACACCAGUGGCGAAGGCGGUUCUCUGGGCCUUUCCUGACGCUGAGGAGCGAAAGCGUGGGGAGCGAACAGGCUUAGAUACCCUGGUAGUCCACGCUGUAAACGGUGGGUACUAGGUGUGGGGUCCAUUCCACGGGUUCCGUGCCGUAGCUAACGCUUUAAGUACCCCGCCUGGGGAGUACGGCCGCAAGGCUAAAACUCAAAGGAAUUGACGGGGCCCCGCACAAGCGGCGGAGCAUGCGGAUUAAUUCGAUGCAACGCGUAGAACCUUACCUGGGUUUGACAUGGAUCGGGAGUGCUCAGAGAUGGGUGUGCCUCUUUUGGGGUCGGUUCACAGGUGGUGCAUGGCUGUCGUCAGCUCGUGUCGUGAGAUGUUGGGUUAAGUCCCGCAACGAGCGCAACCCUUGUUCACUGUUGCCAGCACGUUAUGGUGGGGACUCAGUGGAGACCGCCGGGGUCAACUCGGAGGAAGGUGGGGAUGACGUCAAGUCAUCAUGCCCCUUAUGUCCAGGGCUUCACGCAUGCUACAAUGGCUGGUACAGAGAGUGGCGAGCCUGUGAGGGUGAGCGAAUCUCGGAAAGCCGGUCUCAGUUCGGAUUGGGGUCUGCAACUCGACCUCAUGAAGUCGGAGUCGCUAGUAAUCGCAGAUCAGCAACGCUGCGGUGAAUACGUUCCCGGGGCUUGUACACACCGCCCGUCAAGUCAUGAAAGUUGGUAACACCCGAAGCCGGUGGCCUAACCGUUGUGGGGGAGCCGUCGAAGGUGGGACUGGUGAUUAGGACUAAGUCAUAACA
rnacentral:rRNA from 1 species